AUGAAGAGAAACCUCCUCAUCAUCCUCAUCAUCACAUCAGGUGUGCUUGGUGCUGAUCAAAUUGGACCAGAUGAUCAGGAGACUGAUGUUUUUAGAAAAGAGGGAGAACCUGUUACACUGAAAUGCUCUUAUGACUCAAGUAGUGAAAAUGUCUAUCUCUUCUGGUACAGACAGCAUCCUAACAGAGCUCUACAGUUUAUACUGUAUAAAGGUGCUCGAUCAUACAGUGGCACCAAUAUUGCAGACCAUAGAUUUGAGUCUACUACAUCCUGGUCAUCCACUGAGCUCAGAGUUAGAGAGCUGAGACUGGCAGAUACAGCUCUCUACUACUGUGCUCUUAGAGUUGGAGCCCAGUGA